rnacentral:rRNA from 1 species
CUACUCGGGUAUCUAAUCCCGUUUGCUCCCCUGGCUUUCGCGCCUCAGCGUCAGAAGAGGUCCAGCGUGCCGCCUUCGCCACCGGAGUUCCUGUGGAUAUCAACGCAUUUCACCGCUCCACCCACAGUUCCGCACGCCCCUACCCCCCUCGAGGCCGCCAGUAUCCGGGGCAGUUCCACGGUUGAGCCGUGGGAUUUCACCCCAGACUUGGCAGCCCGCCUACGCGCCCUUUAAGCCCAGUGAUUCCGAACAACGUUCGCACGGUUCGUCUUACCGCGGCUGCUGGCAC